ensembl:miRNA
CGAGGGCUCCCGGCAGCCACGGGAGGAGCGGAGCGCGGCCCUGCGCUGCGGGCCCGGAGCCGCGGGGAGCGCCUGUGCCGUGCGGGGGUUGCGGGCUGCGGGUCG